UCUCUGCCUGGCCUUUGGAGCACCUGGCAGCAGGCCUUCAAUGAGUCUAUGUUUGAAAAAGUUCCUAGAAGAUUCAGGUGCUGAUGGUCCAUAAAACACUCUUGCCAAAUCUCACCAAGAUUGACCUGCCCAAUACAGACAAAUGUGAAUAGAGUUCCAAAAGUAAUUAGAAACGUCACAUAGUUUUCUAUCCCCAUACUCUUCUGAGGCAGAACUUUAACUGAAGUCAAAGAGCCUGACGUGGUCAAGAGUAAAGGUGGACUCAAUUCGAGGAAUUUGACAAAAAGUGACAAAAUUGUGUCACUGAAUUGGCAAGUCUCAAAGUUCAGGGUGCAUCUAGCACGUGGGUUAACAGACAGACUGCUGGGUUGUAGUUCUGAUUUAGUAGAUGCAGGGUAAGCUGAGACUCUCAUUUCCAGAAGGUUCAGAAAUGAUGCUCACAUAGCUAAUGGAGAACCAUAUUGAGAAUCACUGCUGGAGACUACGGAAAGGCAGCGAGACACCUGGACUGUCUGCCUCGGUCCCACAACUCUGACACCAUCCACCUCUCAUGUAUACUUGAGCCUUCAAUGCUACUCUGACCUGCCUGGAAUGAGCUGCUGUACUGGACUGAUUGCUGGUUAUGCAGGGGUAUUGGAGGCAAUCUUUAUGCUCAGGACUACAAUGAAGCAGAGGAGGCCAGAAAAUAUAAGGUUCUCAUCUCUCCCUUAUGCCUAAGAGUUAUCACCUAGUCCAGGUCCUCUCCCCCAAACUCUGGACAGACUGGGAGACUCUCGAGUGUACAUGGCAUCUUGAAGCUCUCAUGGAAAAUGCUUGAUGAGAGGCUGUGAGCACAGCUGGCUGAAAAUGGCUCCCUGGUGGCCGGCUCUCCGAGCAGCUAUCUGUGCCCGGACAGGAGCCUGGCCAAAUACUGUGAUCCAAGAUUCAAAGCAUCCCUGGACUUCAGCAAAACUCAAAAGGAGAUAGGAAUGCCUAAUCACAGCUGAUUGGGGUAAGUGACUCAUACAGAGGGGAUUUCCAGAUGAAGCCUUGGGGACCAACCUAGCUUGGGUUCUCCCCAAAUUAUGACAAAGAAUCCAGGCUGCAGCAGUUGGGAAAUGGAGGUUUACUCAAAAGUAGAAGCUGGGAGGUGAGGAGCUGGAGAGGAUGGUUGCAGGGUGAGCUGCAUCCCAUGUGACCUGUCUACAGACAUCUAAAACAGGACAUCAUAUCAUCAGACAAAGACAGCACACGAAGCAGCAGAGAACAACGAACUAGCCACAUCACUUAAUACUGAGAAGAGGCUGCUGUACUGGCCUCUUCUUACCAGGCUUACCAGUGAUAUGAUGGUCAUUAAAGACACGUAAGUGUUUUGGAUUGAUAGAUGAGCAGCAAGAAGUACUGCUGUCACCUCAGGGGGUCAUGAACGAGGCAACUUUUAUACAAUGAGAUAUCCAUGCCUAAAAGCAGCGCAGGGGUUAACUAGCUACAUCCUUUCUCAUCAAGCUAAAUAAAAUAGCUGGACUCCUGGCCUGCAGGAGGUGUGAAGCUAACUCUUCCACAAACGCCAGAGUCUGCCCACCACUCCAACCUCCUCACCACACAUUGUCCAGGCCCCAAAGAACAAAGUCAUCCUCUGGGGUCAGCAGUAAGCAACCAUUCUCCCCAUCUGAGACUCAAAUGUUCAAAUGCAAUCUCACAUGGAAUGGUUAUGGCACAACAGUCAGGGGCACCUGCGAGAAAGCAAAGGAUAGAAUCCAGAGCCUCUGGUCACAUCACUUAACAUGUCCUGGUGCCCCAGCCCCUAGAAGACCUUGGUCUUCUGGGAACACAGCCUAGGAGCUUUGUGGUUGUAUGCAGGCACUGACUGGGGAGCAAUUCAAACACAUUCAGCCUGGGAAACCAGGGUGAAUGCAGACGGCACAAGCAUUUUUUCAACAAAAAAGUUUGCUCUGUGGAUUUCCCAUGCGCACUUCUGAUUCCUGUGUCUCUCAGAUGUGUGUGUGUGGCUCUAAGAAUGUUGUCAGCAUUUUUAUUCUCAGUUUCAGGAAAAACCUUCUCAACAGGAAGACCCUUGUAAAUAAUGGGGUAAGUAAGAUGUGUGGGGCAGGAGAGAUUUCUCUGUCACUGGAGGAGGCCGUGUGGCUUUGUCUUGCAUGUGUUUUUACCCUGUUUGCAAAGGUCUAACAGGACAAAAUCGCCUUCACUCAUCUCUUCCCACACUCUCUCCUGAGGUUCAUCGUCUGAGAGCACAUUGUUUAUAAUUGGCCUUUUCUCAUUUCUCCAGUGAAUCAGUUUGGGUUUGGGAGUAAAAAAGACCCCACCCAUGCCCUUCCUCUUAGCUGUACAACUCUGGCAUGAUAUUUAAUGGUGUUGGCUUCUGAUAUUCCAAAGCUUGCUUUCAGUGAAAUUUGGGGGGUGUUAAGUGAGCUUCUGGUGUGCAGGGCUAAGUAAGGGUUUGUCACAUGGUAGGGUUCUGUAAAUGUACAUGUGAUCAAGAGAGAAGAAGCAUGGAUGGGGCACAUAAAUGUGUUGCUGCCUUCUCGCUGCAAUCUUCCUGUAGUCGCUUAGAGUCCUUUUGUGAGGAUUAAAUAAAUUCAGGGAAAACAUUUGAGGCAUGUUGGUAGUACUUAAAUUCCCAGCAGGUCAGACCUCACCAUCAAUCUUCAUUAUAGAAACGUCCCCAUGAUAAGCAGUCUAUUCAGGGAUGCCUUCCUCACACAUUGACUGGGCUGGGGGCGAGCAUCCUUUUCAGUUUUACAGAGAUGGAAUGAGGGUAGAAAGCCAUACCUUGGCCACCAUGCUCCCUAUUUAAGACCAAACAUGGCCACUACCUUCUUCCUGAAACCCUCAGCAUGAAGAACGAAGUGACCCCUGGGAGGAUUUCAAGGGGGAUCAGAGUAGGUAAGGCACCUGCCGAGGCACCUGUGCAGGACAGAGGGCUAUGGCGCUGGCUUAUGUUCCUUGUUCUUCUACACCUGCUGUUGAACAUGGACAGAUGCUCUGCACCGCACAGCUAAUGAGCCCUCGUGCCUCCUCCACUCUCCCCUGCAUACACUGUGCCUCUUUUAGAAGUCCCUAUGCUGAGCUCUUCUGUGUUCAGUCUGUGAUUCCCUUACAGCCCCUGUCCUGAGCACAGCCCCUGGUACAACCCAGUCCCUUCCUCUCAAUUUCAUUCUGGCCUCACAUUCUGCCUUGUUAAACACUCCAUUACUCAAGAUUCCACACAUGAGAUACUCGGUACUUUCAAAUUAACACCUCUGACAACCAUGUAAUUUCACCUCUUCCCACCAGAUCCAUCAGCCCAUUAAUCUUAGGAAAGCUAUAGAAACCAGAAAGUCAAAGCCCUAUGUUUAACUAGACAAGUCAUCUAAAGCUUUAAGUACCAGCCGAUGUUCACUGAGAUCACCAAGUGAAAGACAAGGAUUCAGAAGACAAGCCUCAGGCUCACGUAAACCCACUUACUGAUGUUGUGUUGCUAUCUCAUGCUUUUCUUCUCCACAGUUAGCAUGGGUGUGAAACCGUGGCUUUAGUAGACCAGUCUCCAGUUCCUUCUCUAAGCAACUGACCCUGGGAAAUUCUCUAAGCUUUGAUUUCUUCACCUGUCCAACAGUGAUGAACAGCAGUGGCUUGUCAGCGAAAGUAAAUGAACAGCACAGAAAGAUGUGACUUGGACCAGGACCAUGAGUGCCUGCCAGUGCUGGUUGUGAUGACCCUGCAGACAACACUGUCACUGCUCUUGUGACUCCAAAGGCAUGGCUAUCUCACUACCCUUACAUAAGGAUUAUGGUGUCACUGCCAUCUUCCUGCAUCAGCAUGCUCUUCACAUUGUGUUUUAAACUACUCCUCACUGAGGUUUAUGGAAGCUAGAAGAGGGAACAAUAGACAGAUCUGCCACUCUUGAAGAGUACCUCCUUUUGAAGAAUGGAAGCCAAAUUUCUUGCCUUCACCUCUUCCCCAACUGCAUGUUCCUAUAUAAUUUAUCUCAGGCUUGUGACCUUAAGGAUCCCUCCAAUUUCCACUGGCCACAACACCACAACACCAACGCUGGGGUACCUGCUCAGUGAGGAAGGAAGGCUUGUAGGCGCCGUCAGUCGAUUUGUUGCCGGUGCCCCUCAUGGACUUCAUGUGCGAGACCGCCAUGCGCAGGAUGGUCAGCUUGUCUGGCUUCCUAGCCAGUGCACUGCAGGUGGGAACCAUGUCGGAGAGUUCCGUAAUAUAUUGAGUCAUCUUGUUCCGCCUGCGCCGCUCAAUCUCACUGUGGUUCUCUCUUCCCAGAAAGCAAGAGGUCAGGGGGAGGGAAAAAGAGAAGGAUCAGACCAGGGGUCGGUCAGCAGACAUUGGGAUAAAAGAAUACACUGUUAACAUCAGAUAGCCAAAGUCCUGGACCUAACUCAUAAUGGCUCAGUGUUUUGAGUAGUUGUGGACUGAAUCCCUGACACAUCUGUAACUCGGGUCUUUGUGUGGGAAGCAUGGACCUCUCUCUGUGCCUCCUUCUCUAAAUAUGUAUAGGCUCUUCCGGAAUUACACACAUACCUAUGGACUUUUGACCAGGGAGCAUGGAAGAUUAAAACUUUUUAGCAGGCUUUCUGUGUACAAGCAUGAUCUUAAACAUGAAUGUGUGGAUACACAUUUACAAAUGUAGCUCCAGACUUCUUAUCCAUGUGGUUUAUUUCCCUCAUGACACGAAACACUCACUAUAAGAUAGCCUCCAACUUAUACUCCUUCAAUUCUUGGAUGGUGAUAAUCCAUUCAAGUGAACACUGUACCUCAAAAUACAUAAAGCACCCAAAGAUGAGGAAUACCCACACAGCCAUGUGACUUUUACCUUCAAUACAGCACUCAAUAUAUCUUAUGAAUCCUUAGCACUCCACUAUAAAGUAGGGAUGUGUUGAAUGCUUAGCUAGAGACAAACUGAUAUGAGUGUUCUAAUCUGGCUAAAGGCCAUCCAAGCUAGGCUGAGAUGCUUGGCUGGGGCUGUAUCAAAUGCUUUGUCUUUAGCAAUACCCUCAGCUGACAAUGGGCUUGCAGUAUCUAACCCAUCGCAAGCCUCACUAUUCUUUGUGUUACUAAGGAGACCACGGAUGACGCAGAUUCACUUUAUAUAAAGUGAACAUGCCUUUCUUCUACACCCAGUGUAUUUCCUGCAGCAUAGUAACAGAACAGGUGUGAUCCUGGCCUAUUAGCAAAUAACCAAUUACAAAAAAUACUCCAAGGAAUUACCCAAUUCCAUUUCUAGGAUUCUUAAAAUGGAAAACCAACAGAAGGGCUGGGAGAAUAUUUCUGCCUCGAAUUAUUUAUUACCGUUCAGCUCAAAAGAGAGUAACAGCCAACCUCAUCCAACACACUUGCUGUUCCCUGAGAUGAAACAGAGUCUAAAAACACACCCCACGCUGCUGCUGCUGUUGCUGCAGAAUGGAGGGCUUUCUGGCUUCUCUGGGAAGGAAAGUGACACCAACAAUAAGAAAAGAAGAUCCCCAGGCAAGGCUGCUCCACACACUGCAUGUAUUCAUCAGCCUUACACUUCGGGAAGUGGGACAACACGACAAUCAGGCCCAUAGGUGUGACAAUGAGCAUGCUGUGUGUGUGCGCUGAGAGACCCUCUGUAGAAACAGCAGUCCCUGUGGUGGACUGGUGUGAACCUUCUGGAACAGAAUUUCCAUUCAAGGAGUCCUGAGCUAGCCCCACAAUGGGUAUGGAAUGCCAAAGAAAA